rnacentral:rRNA from 1 species
UNGGAAGGUGACCUGCGGNAGGAUCAUUAUCGAGUUUUUGAAACGGGUUGUCGCUUGGUCCCAUUCUUAACAGAGUCGGGACAUGUGCACACCUGGCUUCAUUCCACUCUUCAACCCCUGUGCACUUGUUGUAGGUUUCAGGUCGGACGCGGGGCUUUCGACUUCAUCGUCGAGAGCUUUCAAGGAAAGCCUGAGCCUAUGUUUUACUACACACACGCUUCAGUUAUAGAAUGUAAACAUCGCGUAUAACGCAUUUUAAAUACAACUUUCAGCAACGGAUCUCUUGGCUCUCGCAUCGAUGAAGAACGCAGCGAAAUGCGAUAAGUAAUGUGAAUUGCAGAAUUCAGUGAAUCAUCGAAUCUUUGAACGCACCUUGCGCUCCUUGGUAUUCCGAGGAGCAUGCCUGUUUGAGUGUCAUGGAAUUCUCAACCUUUGAAAGCUUUUAUCGGUUCUCAAAGGCUUGGACUUGGAGGUCGUGUCGGCUCUGCAAAGAAUCGACUCCUCUGAAACGUAUCAGUGCGAACCUUUACGGAUCGUCUUCGGUGUGAUAAACGUCUACGCCGUGGUCGUGAAGUAUGAUCGUGUCCGUGCUUCUAACCGUCUCCUUUGCGAGACAAAAACUGUGUUACUUACUAUAAGUAACGUAGGCAUUGACAAUCUGACCUCAAAUCAGGUAGGACUACCCGCUGAACUUA